UAGUGACCUGGGACUGUAUCAUUAAGUAUUCAGAAAAGCUAAAUGGUGACUAGGCUUCCCCAGUGCAGAGAAGACUAAAGAUUCCCCAGACAAUGAGAAAGUGAAGUAAGAUUGGUUGUCAGAACAGAGGGUGAUGUCCUGGAAGAACAAUGAGGGAUGGAAGGACUGGAGGUCACAAUGAGCAUGGCAAAUAUGUUUAGGAUGGCUGAUGCAUACAAAGAGAUGGUUAAAUAAGAGGUAUUUUUGGAGACACUCAUGGAUAUUUGGAUAUGUCAACCAGAUGAGGAAAGAAGAACUAUGGUGCAUUAAAAGAUAGUUGUGGAGAGAUUAGUCUGUUCUGUCAAGCCUCCAGAUGUGCAGUGGAUGCUGAUGUGGACAUGGAGAGUGAUGGCAAUACUACCUUGGAUGUGGUGAAAGAGAACAUCAUCAUUUUCACCAUCUUUAUUUUCAUCAUCAUUAUCAUUGUGUUCAGAGACAUAGGUAACAGGGAAGGAGGCCAAGUUAGGAAAACCAAAUAAACAAACAGACUUGGGGUGGGUAGAGACCUCGUGGGUUCAAGAGUAGAAAAAGGGAUGGAAGAUUAAUGAAAAGCAGCAACAGUUCAGCAUGACUGAUUCACUUUCUUUACCUUUUCACCUUUGCAAAAGGUAAGGGCCUAGUGCCCUUUGAUUUCAGCCAUGGAAACCAAGAAGAAUAUAGCUAUAAUUCUUGACUC